rnacentral:rRNA from 1 species
GACGAACGCUGGCGGCGUGCCUAAUACAUGCAAGUAGAACGCUGAAGAGAGGAGCUUACUCUUCUUGGAUGAGUUGCGAACGGGUGAGUAACGCGUAGGUAACCUGCCUUGUAGCGGGGGAUAACUAUUGGAAACGAUAGCUAAUACCGCAUAACAAUGGAUGACACAUGUCAUUUAUUUGAAAGGGGCAAUUGCUCCACUACAAGAUGGACCUGCGUUGUAUUAGCUAGUAGGUGAGGUAAUGGCUCACCUAGGCGACGAUACAUAGCCGACCUGAGAGGGUGAUCGGCCACACUGGGACUGAGACACGGCCCAGACUCCUACGGGAGGCAGCAGUAGGGAAUCUUCGGCAAUGGGGGCAACCCUGACCGAGCAACGCCGCGUGAGUGAAGAAGGUUUUCGGAUCGUAAAGCUCUGUUGUAAGUCAAGAACGGGUGUGAGAGUGGAAAGUUCACACUGUGACGGUAGCUUACCAGAAAGGGACGGCUACCUACGU